rnacentral:rRNA from 1 species
AAGUCGAACGGUAACAGGAAGCAGCUUGCUGCUUCGCUGACGAGUGGCGGACGGGUGAGUAAUGUCUGGGAAACUGCCUGAUGGAGGGGGAUAACUACUGGAAACGGUAGCUAAUACCGCAUAACGUCGCAAGACCAAAGAGGGGGACCUUCGGGCCUCUUGCCAUCGGAUGUGCCCAGAUGGGAUUAGCUAGUAGGUGGGGUAACGGCUCACCUAGGCGACGAUCCCUAGCUGGUCUGAGAGGAUGACCAGCCACACUGGAACUGAGACACGGUCCAGACUCCUACGGGAGGCAGCAGUGGGGAAUAUUGCACAAUGGGCGCAAGCCUGAUGCAGCCAUGCCGCGUGUAUGAAGAAGGCCUUCGGGUUGUAAAGUACUUUCAGCGGGGAGGAAGGGAGUAAAGUUAAUACCU